rnacentral:rRNA from 1 species
CCCUUAGAUGUCCUGGGCCGCACGCGCGUUACACUGAUGCAUUCAACGAGCUUAUAACCUUGGCCGAGAGGCCUGGGCAAUCUUGUUAACGUGCAUCGUGAUAGGGAUAGAUUAUUGAAAUUAUUAAUCCUGAACGAGGAAUUCCUAGUAAACGCAGAUCAUCAAUCUGCAUUGAUUACGUCCCUGCCCUUUGUACACACCGCCCGUCGCACCUACCGAUUGGAUGGUCCGGUGAAGCCUCGGGAUUGUGGUUCUUGCCGCUUUAUUGUGGCGUGACCGCGAGAACUUGUCUAAACCUUAUCAUCUAGAGGAAGGUGAAGUCGUAACA